rnacentral:rRNA from 1 species
GACGAACGCUGGCGGCGUGCUUAACACAUGCAAGUCGAACGAUGAAGCCGGAGCUUGCUCUGGUGAAUUAGUGGCGAACGGGUGAGUAACACGUGAGUAACCUGCCCUUGACUCUGGGCUAAAUGCUAGAAAUGGUAGCUAAUACUGGAUACGACCCUCGGAGGCGUCCCCAGGGGGUGGAAAGAAUUUCGGUCAGUGAUGGACUCGCGGCCCAUCAGCUAGGUGGUGAGGUAACGGCUCACCAAGGCGACGACGGGUAGGCGGCGUGAGAGGGUGACCGGCCAGACCGGGACUGAGACACGGCCCAGACUCCUACUGGAGGCAGCAGUGGGGAAUAUUGCACAAUGGGCGCAAGCCUAAGGCAGCAACGCCGCGUGAGGGAUGACGGCCUUCGGGUUGUAAACCUCUUUUAGUAGGGAAGAAGCGAAAGUGACGGUACCUGCAGAAAAAGCACCGGCUAACUACGUGCCAGCCGCCGCCGUAA